CCCUUAGAUGUUCUGGGCUGCACGCGCGCUACACUGACGCACGCAACAGGUGCCUGCUCCGAGAGGACUGGGUAAUCAUUUGAGUGUGCGUCGUGAUGGGGAUAGAAUAUUGUAAUUAUUACUCUUCAACGAGGAAUUCCUAGUAAGCGCAAGUCAGCAGCUUGCGCUGAUUACGUCCCUGCCCUUUGUACACACCGCCCGUCGCUCCUACCGAUGGGUGAUCCGGUGAGCUCUUCGGACUGCGCGGUCUGCAGUUUCUGCGUUCCGUGCGGAAAGUUGCGCAAACCUUAACAUUUAGAGGAAGGAGAAGUCGUAACA
rnacentral:rRNA from 1 species